rnacentral:rRNA from 1 species
UACGUAGGGGGCAAGCGUUGUCCGGAAUCAUUGGGCGUAAAGCGCGUGUAGGCGGUCCGGUAAGUCCGCUGUGAAAGUCCAGGGCUCAACCCUGGGAUGCCGGUGGAUACUGUCGGGCUAGAGUACGGAAGAGGCGAGUGGAAUUCCCGGUGUAGCGGUGAAAUGCGCAGAUAUCAGGAGGAACACCAAUGGCGAAGGCAGCUCGCUGGGACGUGACUGACGCUGAGACGCGAAAGCGUGGGGAGCAAACAGG